rnacentral:rRNA from 1 species
GAUCCUGGCUCAGGAUGAACGCUAGCUACAGGCUUAACACAUGCAAGUCGAGGGGCAGCAUGACCUAGCAAUAGGUUGAUGGCGACCGGCGCACGGGUGAGUAACACGUAUCCAACCUACCGGUUAUUCUGGGAUAGCCUUUCGAAAGAAAGAUUAAUACCGGAUAGCAUAACGAGAAGGCAUCUUCUUGUUAUUAAAGAAUUUCGAUAACCGAUGGGGAUGCGUUCCAUUAGUUUGUUGGCGGGGUUAACGG